rnacentral:rRNA from 1 species
AUUGAACGCUGGCGGCAUGCCUUACACAUGCAAGUCGAACGGCAGCACGGGGGCAAUCCUGGUGGCGAGUGGCGAACGGGUGAGUAAUAUAUCGGAACGUGCCCAGUCGUGGGGGAUAACGUAGCGAAAGCUACGCUAAUACCGCAUACGAUCUAUGGAUGAAAGCGGGGGAUCGCAAGACCUCGCGCGAUUGGAGCGGCCGAUAUCAGAUUAGGUAGUUGGUGAGGUAAAGGCUCACCAAGCCGACGAUCUGUAGCUGGUCUGAGAGGACGACCAGCCACACUGGACUGAGACACGGCCAGACUCCCUACGGGAGGCAGCAGAGGGGAAUUUUGGGACAAUGGGCGCAAGCC